rnacentral:misc_RNA from 1 species
GAUGAAGAACGUAGCGAAAUGCGAUAAGUAAUGUGAAUUGCAGAAUUCAGUGAAUCAUCGAAUCUUUGAACGCACAUUGCGCCCGCCAGUAUUCUGGCGGGCAUGCCUGUUCGAGCGUCAUUUCAACCAUCAAGCCCCCGGCUUGUGUUGGGGACCUGCGGCUGCCGCAGGCCCUGAAAACCAGUGGCGGGCUCGCUAGUCACUCCGAGCGUAGUAAUACAUCUCGCUCAGGGCGUGCUGCGGGUUCCGGCCGUUAAAAAGCCUUAUUUACCCAAGGUUGACCUCGGAUCAGGUAGGAAGACCCGCUGAACUUAAGCAUAUCAAUAAGCGGAGGC